GGGCCCGCACAAGCGGUGGAGCAUGUGGUUUAAUUCGAUGAUACGCGAGGAACCUUACCAGGGCUUAAAUGUAAGUUGCAUAGAUCAGAGAUGGUCUUUUCUUCGGACUACUUACAAGGUGCUGCAUGGUUGUCGUCAGCUCGUGCCGUGAGGUGUCAGGUUAAGUCCUAUAACGAGCGCAACCCCUGUCGUUAGUUACCAGCAAGUAAUGUUGGGUACUCUAGCGAGACUGCCGGUGCAAACCGUGAGGAAGGUGGGGAUGACGUCAAAUCAUCACGGCCCUUACGUCCUGGGCCACACACGUGCUACAAUGGCCGGUACAGAGAGCAGCCACUACGCGAGUAGGAGCGAAUCUUCAAAACCGGUCUCAGUUCGGAUCGCAGUCUGCAACUCGACUGCGUGAAGUCGGAAUCGCUAGUAAUCGCAGGUC
rnacentral:rRNA from 1 species